UUGCCCUUCUCUGGACACGUUCCAGUAGCUCAACAUCUCUCUUGAAUUGAGGAGCCCAGAACUGGACACAAUACUCAAGAUGUGGGCUGACCAGUGUUGAGUACAGAAGAAUAACCUCCAUGGCACUAUGUUUGAAGCCUGAUGGUAACUGAAUUUGGGCUGGAGAAAAAGGUUUGGAGCUGUGCCUCCCAGUUUGAGGUACUUCUGCUCUUCAUAAUGGGGCAAAUGAUGCCAAAUCCACUGGCAUCCUAUUUCUUUCACAGUUGCUCCAGGUAUGUCCCUCAUGCUUAGCAUGUGCAGUGACAGUAUUUCCAUACGUGUCACAAGUGGUAAUGACAAACAUCAGUUGAUCACAUUCAGUGCUGAUGUAAUGUCCUCUUUGCAGGGAGUCUCCAUGGCUUUCCAGGUGCAGGUCCCCUUCUCAGCAUCCUCCCAUCACCUGGAGGUUGUUUUGUGGGACACCAUGGAGGAACAUGGCACUUCAGCAGCAGCUGAUAGGGCUUGAUGAUAGAAGCUGUGGCCAACCCAACUGAAGUGUUCAAAAGUGGCCUGGGAGAACCUGGAGCAGGGUUGUAGGCAACACCUCAUCAGUGAGCAGCCUGAAUUUCUGUGAGACCCUGGCUACAUUGAACAGGGAUCUUAGAGAGACAGGAUCCUGGCCGGGAAUCCUACCGUGACUGGGGCUGUACAAAUGCAGAAAACCCAGGUGGGUCUUGUUCUUCCUAAACCUCCUGCUGAGCUCUCUGGGAGUGGUGCUGGUUAAGCAAAGUAGGUCAGCACUCCAGACAGGCAGAGGUAUGCGCACAUCAGGCAGGAGAUGCAAUCUGGAAUAUUGAGCCACCAAGUAGCUGUUAAAAACUGUGCACAAGGGCAAUUAAAACAUUAGCAUCCUUUUAUGUAAGCAAAGCAGACAGAACUGGCAAUUAGUUUCACUUACAGCUUUGGAGUCCUGGAGGAGUGUCCUCAGAGGCAGAUUCUGGUUUGGCCACCAGACACUUGGAUCCAUCGAUCUGACAGCUCACGCGGGAGGUAGGGAUGUGACUGCGCAGGCGUCUGCCUCCACACACGCACAGGAGUAGAAUGCACGGUGCCGUGUGUGAUGGGACAAGUGCUUACCUACUGUCAGGCUGCCUCUGGCCCUGGAGGAGAGGAGGUUGCUU